rnacentral:rRNA from 1 species
UACGAAGGGGGCUAGCGUUGCUCGGAAUCACUGGGCGUAAAGGGUGCGUAGGCGGGUCUUUAAGUCAGGGGUGAAAUCCUGGAGCUCAACUCCAGAACUGCCUUUGAUACUGAGGAUCUUGAGUUCGGGAGAGGUGAGUGGAACUGCGAGUGUAGAGGUGAAAUUCGUAGAUAUUCGCAAGAACACCAGUGGCGAAGGCGGCUCACUGGCCCGAUACUGACGCUGAGGCACGAAUGCGUGGGGAGCAAACAGG